UGGGUUCUCUCCUUCAGAUGUCUUAGC
rnacentral:piRNA from 1 species